ensembl:lncRNA
CCAUCACCACCUUUCUUUUCUUCCGCAAGAUUUCUGAGGCACAGGCGGACAGGGGGCCAGGAGAGCUGCCCCCUUCUACCUCCCCAGGUGAGGGGAACGGCCAUAAGGGGCGUCUCCGACCCGAAAUUGAUACCUAGGAUUGAACCCCAGAGCGGAAAAGUGCGGCCAGAGCCGUUUACCUCCAAAUAACGUUGGGAAGAGACUUUAUCUUGCUCUGCUGCUGUCCGAUGCUAUGGUGAAGUCCAUAUUGUAAAAGUCAGAGGAAUGUUCUUGAAAAGAAAAGCAAAAACAAAACGCGAGAGGCUUUCUUUUUAAACCGUCUUUAUUCCUGUAGAUGCAUGAGCAAGAUCGGUUUUGUAUUUGCGAAAUGGCAGUCUGAUUCAGCUCUAUAAUAAUCACAUAGCUUGAUUAUUUUCUGGGUGGGGAUGCAUUUGACUCAAGACAAGUUGUGCAGUGUAGACAUUUAUUUAGUAAAUAUUUGGGCGCACGCCGGGUGUCCAGGGCUGUUAGCGUUUGGAAGAGCCCGCAGCGCAUGGAAGCACACACUUGGUCACUGUUGGUUCCGGCCUCAAGUGGGCGUCUUGUUGCAGCACCCGAAGCCUGUCUUACUGCGCAGAUUUCUCAGUCCCGGUGUUAGAACCACCUAGGAAUUUCUUUCUGUGAUUUUUCUGGUGUUCUUAAUCCGGACGAAGAAGGAAAUAGGGAAAACAGUGCCUUCAACUCAAGGUGCAGUGCGCAGUGGCCAAAGUGGCGGGGAAGCAAUUGAAGCUCACGGCAGUUAUCACCGGGCAGGGCAAAGUACUGCUGCUAAGUUGCUUCAGUCAUGUCCAACUCUGUGCGACCCCAUAGAUGGCAGCCCACCAGGCUCCCCCGUCCCUGGGAUUCUCCACGCAAGAACACUGGAGUGGGUUGCCAUUUCUUUCUCCAGUCCAUGAAAGUGAAAAGUGAAAGUGAAGUCACUCAGUCGUGUCUGACCCUCAGCGACCCCAUGGACUGCAACCUACCUGGCUCAUUCUGUCCGUGGGAUUUUAUAGGCAAGAGUACUGGAGUGGGGUGCCAUUGCCUUCUCCGAAGGACAAAGGCAGUGAUGGAGAUGCAGACAUAUGAACACAAGGAGGAGGGGAAGGAGAGGGUGCGACAAAUGGAAAGAGAAGCAUGGAAACAUAUACACCGCCUAAAGGAAGUCAGCCCUGAAUAUUCAUUGGAAGGACUGGUG